GCGGACAGAAGGGAGCUUGCUCCCGGAUGUAGCGGCGGACGGGUGAGUAACACGUGGGUAACUGCCUGUAAGACUGGGAUAACUCCGGGAAACCGGAGCUAAUACCGGAUAGUUCCUUGAACCGCAUGGUUCAAGGAUGAAAGACGGUUUCGGCUGUCACUUACAGAUGGACCCGCGGCGCAUAGCUAGUUGGUGAGGUAACGGCUCACCAAGGCGACGAUGCGUAGCCGACCUGAGAGGGUGAUCGGCCACACUGGGACUGAGACACGGCCCAGACUCCUACGGGAGGCAGCAGUAGGGAAUCUUCCGCAAUGGACGAAAGUCUGACGGAGCAACGCCGCGUGAGUGAUGAAGGUUUUCGGAUCGUAAAGCUCUGUUGUUAGGGAAGAACAAGUGCAAGAGUAACUGCUUGCACCUUGACGGUACCUAACCAGAAAGCCACGGCUAACUACGUGCCAGCAGCCGCGGUAAUACGUAGGUGGCAAGCGUUGUCCGGAAUUAUUGGGCGUAAAGGGCUCGCAGGCGGUUUCUUAAGUCUGAUGUGAAAGCCCCCGGCUCAACCGGGGAGGGUCAUUGGAAACUGGGAAACUUGAGUGCAGAAGAGGAGAGUGGAAUUCCACGUGUAGCGGUGAAAUGCGUAGAGAUGUGGAGGAACACCAGUGGCGAAGGCGACUCUCUGGUCUGUAACUGACGCUGAGGAGCGAAAGCGUGGGGAGCGAACAGGAUUAGAUACCCUGGUAGUCCACGCCGUAAACGAUGAGUGCUAAGUGUUAGGGGGUUUCCGCCCCUUAGUGCUGCAGCUAACGCAUUAAGCACUCCGCCUGGGGAGUACGGUCGCAAGACUGAAACUCAAAGGAAUUGACGGGGGCCCGCACAAGCGGUGGAGCAUGUGGUUUAAUUCGAAGCAACGCGAAGAACCUUACCAGGUCUUGACAUCCUCUGACAACCCUAGAGAUAGGGCUUUCCCUUCGGGGACAGAG
rnacentral:rRNA from 1 species